rnacentral:rRNA from 1 species
UACGUAGGGUGCAAGCGUUGUCCGGAAUUAUUGGGCGUAAAGAGCUCGUAGGCGGUUUGUCGCGUCUGCUGUGAAAACCCGAGGCUCAACCUCGGGCCUGCAGUGGGUACGGGCAGACUAGAGUGAGGUAGGGGAGAUUGGAAUUCCUGGUGUAGCGGUGGAAUGCGCAGAUAUCAGGAGGAACACCGAUGGCGAAGGCAGAUCUCUGGGCCGUAACUGACGCUGAGGAGCGAAAGCAUGGGGAGCGAACAGG